GAUUCCGUCAGCAGCGACUUCUCGCUCCGAAUCCGUCGCGACGGCUUCUUGCGGACUUUUUUUUGUCUUCCUCUGCUUCUGCUCCUCAGUCGUACACUGAAAUAUCUUCCCAGCUUCUUUCCUCUCCCCCUCUGUGCACGACUCCGGCCGAUCCCUCCGCCUCCCUUUCUUUCCCCUACCUCCAGUGGGGGCUCCGCCCAAACCCGCCGCCCCCUUCGCGUCGCCCUGAACCAGCGAUGCGCGGUCCCGGGCGCCAUGGCCUCCCCAGCACGGGCGGCACCGGGUACCACGGCGGCACCACCGCCCCAGUACGGCCGAUGCCGGCCGCCCCGGCGGUGCGGCCGCGCUAGCACGAGCAGCCCCGUGGGCCCUGCGGGAGCCCUUGCAAGGGCGCCGCCAGGCCACCCUACGGCGCCACCGCUCCGGCACGGGCCAAGCCAGUGGCCGUAGCACGGGCGCCCCCCUGCGCGUCGGCCUCAACGACCGGCCCUGCCUGGUCGUGUCUUCCUCUUCCCCGGCUACUGCUCCGCUCGGUAGGUGGCCUUUGCCAAGGCGCGUCACCUCAGCGACCGGAUCUGGUGAGACCUCACCCUCUUCUUCUCCUCCUCUAUUCCAUAGCUGCUCCCCCAGGUCCUCCAUCCCUCCGCGUUCGCCUUCGUGCAGGUGAGUGGCCGCUGCGGCAGCAUGUGCUACCUCCCCUCUACACGCCGGUCGCAUCCACCGCCUCCGUGGCUGCCGUUUUCGCCGUUGGUCUUCCUCUUCACCUCCGCCAACCCCCGUGCUUUGCGUUUUCAAUUCCCCUACGAACGGUAAGGCCCCAGCAAGCUAGGCUUAGCGGUGCCGAGGGAGGUCUAGCAGUUCCAUCUCCACCAUGGAUUCUUUGAUCAGGACUAAUAUUUUUCAGCACACGGCUAAAUAGAGUUAAGGCUUCAAGAGUCUUCUCUCCUUUCUUGAUUGCUGUCCACAUCUUCUUUGCCUUCCAUUCCAUAAGACAUGGAGUACUAUCACUUUCAUGGUGUUUUUUUUUGGCAGAAUCUGUGUUCCAAUCACCCACGAACUGCACUUCGCAGGUCAGGUAGCACAGAAAAAAAACAGAGAGGCAGCAUAGGACCUGAAGAGAAUUGAAAACUGAAGCCCAUGUUGAGAUCAUUGCCACAAUUGGGUGGCACUCCAUGUAGCAGACUAUCAACCUUGGAGCAAAACAUUAUGCCUGAACACCACAUAGUACCAGGAGAGGCACUGCAGUUGAGAUCAAUAUGGUGGAUCUGUUGAUUACGUCAGCUGUAUUCUUCUCUAUUCUUUUCGAAUGGUUGGAUUGUGGAUGUGUUGUUGCAAAUGCAUGUAUUUUAUUGGUGCCCUUUGUGUUGUUUCCUCCUGUUGAGAUUCGAUAAGCACUUCCUUGGCUAAAUCAUCUUGCUCUC